UACGGAGGGUGCAAGCGUUAAUCGGAAUUACUGGGCGUAAAGCGCACGCAGGCGGUCUGCCAAGUCGGAUGUGAAAUCCCCGGGCUUAACCUGGGAACUGCAUCCGAAACUGGCAGGCUAGAGUCUUGUAGAGGGGGGUAGAAUUCCAUGUGUAGCGGUGAAAUGCGUAGAGAUGUGGAGGAAUACCGGUGGCGAAGGCGGUCGACUGGCCUAUCACUGACGUUUAGGCACGAAAGCGUAGGGAGCAAAUAGG
rnacentral:rRNA from 1 species